GACGAACGCUGGCGGCGUGCCUAAUACAUGCAAGUAGAACGCACAGUUUAUACCGUAGCUUGCUACACCAUAAACUGUGAGUUGCGAACGGGUGAGUAACGCGUAGGUAACCUGCCUGGUAGCGGGGGAUAACUAUUGGAAACGAUAGCUAAUACCGCAUAAUAUUGAUUAUUGCAUGAUAAUUGAUUGAAAGAUGCUAUUGCAUCACUACCAGAUGGACCUGCGUUGUAUUAGCUAGUAGGUGAGGUAACGGCUCACCUAGGCGACGAUACAUAGCCGACCUGAGAGGGUGGUCGGCCACACUGGGACUGAGACACGGCCCAGACUCCUACGGGAGGCAGCAGGAGGGAAUCUUCGGCAAUGGACGAAAGUCUGACCGAGCAACGCCGCGUGAGUGAAGAAGGUUUUCGGAUCGUAAAGCUCUGUUGUAAGAGAAGAACGGGUGUGAGAGUGGAAAGUUCACACUGUGACGGUAUCUGACCAGAAAGGGACGGCUAACUACGUG
rnacentral:rRNA from 1 species